rnacentral:lncRNA from 1 species
AUUUUGUAGAAAACUACAAAGAUGUAAACUGUGAAUGACCUCUUCCAAGCAAUAGGGUUGGAGACCUAUGAGUUGAAGGAUAGGGUUGUAUAUUUCAUGCGAAAAAUGAUUCACCUCCUCGCACUGAUCCACCACUGGAUCACCCACAACACAUUUCUCAAAGUGCUCCAAACUCAAUCAUUCAUCUGCAUGCAUGAAUCUCAAAGUGAUUAGCGGUUGAUCCAACAGUGGCUUCAUAUGAAGGUCAUUCUUUCACAAGGAAGAUGCAACCCCAC